GCGCGGGGGUUGCAGUUCCGGUUGGGAGGGGUGGGGCCGAGCGCUGUGAAGUGAGGAGGGCGAGGCCCCGGUUUGUUUAACUGACCAGCGUAGCCUCUGUUUUGUCUUUGGUGGACGACGUCCUUUGCUGGGAAGCUAGUCUACACACCACUCCACUCAAGCACCUCUAUGAAGGGAACAUGUGAAGAGGAACAAAAGCCUCCAUCGACAACCACACCAACUUACCAGCCAUGUGUAGAGUAUGAACUGAUGGCUUACACACAAAUGGAGAUACAAACAACUAAUAUUUGAAAAUCUUCAAUCUCAUCAAAAAUGCAAAUUAAAAUAUGGAAGAAGGGGAUCUGAUGAAGGAAAAGAUCAAAGUUUCUUGAGUAGAAAUUUGAAAAAGAAAAGCAUUUAGGGUGGAGAAAAUUAAAGGACAUUAUUCCUACAGAGGAAAAUUGGACUAAGAAGAGGGAGACUUGAUUAAUGAUAGAUUGAUCAUGAUGAGGAAACUGAGAAUCAUAAAGUCACUCCAGCCUUCUGACUUCAGACCGUAGUUUAAUGAACUGUGCAGAGGGACUAGUAGCAGCAAUGGAGGAAGAUGAUCUGAAAAGCAAAAAGCAGCUCACUAGACUUUAAUCACCAAAAAUGAUUACUUCAAAUGAAGGAUUCAUACUAUCCCUUCUUCUAUACAUUAUGCAUAAUGUCUAUGAAUCACAACAUCAGUUAAAUUUCUACUUUUAUAAAGUAUUUUCUUUUAUUCUUCACUCAUUCAUUUCUUUCUUCUUCUUCUUCUUCUUCUUCUUCUUCUUCUUCUUCUUCUUCUUUUCUUCUUCUUCAAUAUCAUCAUCAUCCAGUGUUAACUGUAAAUUGUGCAUUGCACUAAUAUACUAAAUCUUAAUAAAAUAAUCAACCAAUCAAAAAGUCCUUACCUUCUAUUUCCUAGUAUGCUGAGGAUUUUAACAAAUGCCCACUUCCCUUCAGUAAAGCAAAACAAUCCCUGCCUACACAAAUUUUGACAAGAUGCUGCACAAUACAAAAUAAUGCAAAAUAAAAAUGUGUAAAACAGAGACUGAGA